CCUACGGUGUGCAGCAGUGAGGAAUAUUGGUCAAUGUGCGGAAGCCUGAACCAGCCAAGUCGCGUGAGGGAAUAAGGCCCUACGGGUCGUAAACCUCUUUUGCCGGGGAGCAAGGGCCGGGACGCGUCCCGGCCCGGAGAGUACCCGGAGCAAAAGCAUCGGCUAACUCCGUGCCAGCAGCCGCGGUAAUACGGAGGCUGCGAGCGGUAUCCGGAUUUAUUGGGUUUAAGGGGUGCGUAGGCGGGCAUUUAAGUCAGCGGUAAAAAGUCGGGGCUCAACCCCGUCCGGCCGUUGAAACUGGGGGCCUUGAGUGGGCGGGAAGAAGGCGGAAUGCGUGGUGUAGCGGUGAAAUGCAUAGAUAUCACGCAGAACCCCGAGUGCGAAGGCAGCCUUCCGGCGCCCUACUGACGCUGAGGCACGAAAGUGCGGGGAUCGAACAGGAUUAGAUACCCGGGUAGUC
rnacentral:rRNA from 1 species